UACGGGGGGUGCAAACGUUGCUCGGAAUUAUUGGGCGUAAAGCGCACGUAGGCGGCUUUGUAAGUUAGAGGUGAAAGCCCGGGGCUCAACCCCGGAAUUGCCUUUAAGACUGCAUCGCUUGAAUCCAGGAGAGGUGAGUGGAAUUCCGAGUGUAGAGGUGAAAUUCGUAGAUAUUCGGAAGAACACCAGUGGCGAAGGCGGCUCACUGGACUGGUAUUGACGCUGAGGUGCGAAAGCGUGGGGAGCAAACAGG
rnacentral:rRNA from 1 species